CACGUAGGGCGCGAGCGUUGUCCGGAAUUAUUGGGCGUAAAGGGUAGGUAGGUGGUCUCAUUUGUCCGGGGUGAAAGCCUUGAGCUUAACUCAAGAAGUGCCCCGGAAACGGUGAGACUCGAGUACUGGAGAGGGUCGUGGAAUUCCCGGUGUAGCGGUGAAAUGCGUAGAGAUCGGGAGGAACACCAGAGGCGAAGGCGGCGACCUGGACAGUUACUGACACUCAACUACGAAAGCGUGGGGAGCAAACAGG
rnacentral:rRNA from 1 species